rnacentral:rRNA from 1 species
GACGAACGCUGGCGGCGUGCUUAACACAUGCAAGUCGAACGGAAAGGCCCUGCUUUUGUGGGGUGCUCGAGUGGCGCACGGGUGAGUAACACGUGAGUAACCUGCCCUUGACUUUCUGAUAACUUCAGGAAACUGGGGCUAAUACCGGAUAGGAGCUCCUGCUGCAUGGUGGGGGUUGGAAAGUUUCGGCGGUUGGGGAUGGACUCGCGGCUUAUCAGCUUGUUGGUGGGGUAGUGGCUUACCAAGGCUUUGACGGGUAGCCGGCCUGAGAGGGUGACCGGCCACAUGGGGACUGAGAUAGGGCGCAGACUGCUACGGGAGGCAGCAGUGGGGAAUAUGGCAGAAUGGGCGGAAGCCUGAUGCAGCAGCGCCGCGUGCGGGAUGACGGCCUUCGGGGUGUAAACCGCUUUCUCCUGUGACGAAGCGUGAGUGACGGUAAUGGGUAAAGAAGCACCGGCUAACUACGUG